rnacentral:other from 1 species
AGCUCCCUGCUCUGUUGGCCAGUCAUGAAUGUCCCUGAGCCGAUAAUUUAGGAACUGGAGGCUCCUUGCAGGUGUCGGCGUGCAAGUCCGCUAUAGGCGGAAAGCCCAAAACAUCUCAGCAGCCACCACCUUGAACCUAGGGUUCAAGGGCCCAAUUGACAGCGGCGGAUUGGGGGGCGG